rnacentral:tRNA from 1 species
CCAGUAGCUCAGUUGGUAGAGCAAUUGACUCUUAAUCAAUGGGUCCAGGGUUCGAGUCCCU